rnacentral:lncRNA from 1 species
CAGCUCUGACAGAUGUAUUCGUAAGCUCAAGACUUUUCCUAAGCACGUGUAUAUUGCUUGUUCCGUGUGAAAGAAAUUUCUCGACAUUAAAAUUGGCAAAAAGUGUUCUUCAGUUAACUGAGUGGAGACAGGUUGACAGAUGUUCACACGGGUCAAAAACAAAACCUGUACCAUUAUUCAUUACUGAUAGGUUAUUACAGGGUUUUUUUUUUUCCUUUUUUCAACAUUAAUAUAAUUUUCCCUUUCGAACUUGAAUUUUUGUGUUUUUUUAAGAUAUCUAGAAAAUCCCCAAAUAUUUUAUAAAGAUUUUAUUGUUUUUAAGUAAUCUCUACACCCAACGUGGGACCCAAACCCAUGACAGGCUCUACUGACUGCCGGACAGGCACUCGCGUGUUUUAUUUUUGUAUUUGUUUUCCUGGCAUGGUUAUAUAUAAACUGUUCAGGAACUGAAACUUUCACUUUCUGCCUUUCUCUUCCAGUCAGUAUUCUUACUCGUUUCAUUUCCUGAUUGGGACUGAAAAUGACUUGGUCAUAUCGAGAAAGACGGUGUUAAAACAUGAAUCACUCGGUGGACCGAACACGCAAGGCUGGCUCCUAUCACCGGCCACUAGAGACCAGCUCUGUCCACCCAAAUGAACCCAGGAUCAGACGUGGCCUCUGCCUCAGUGGACUCAGAACCGUAACCAUUCUGUGGUUGGGUGCGGUGUCCUGGGCCACACAAAAUACCCUCUCGGGUGAUGGACAAGCUGCUGAGUCUUCUGCCCCCGAUACUAAGACGUAAGAACAACAAUCUUUACGUUUUUGAGAUAGCAGGUAUCGUUCUGACCUAUUUACUGGAAGGAUAACAAUGUUACCAGAUUUAAAUAGAGGGAUGAUUUCAUUACAGGUUCGAGCUGUGAGACCUAACAAGCCCCCAGAAAGAUAGUCACAGUGCAGAGCCCGGGAUCUGGGGGCAAGAGUAGCAGAUACCUGUUCCCUGCGGGGAAAACGCGUUGUGACGGCCCAGCCUGGCCUGGGACACGGACAGACGGCCAGAACUCCCACAGCCCGUGCAGCCUUUAAACCAACGCCUUUCCCCAGCUCGUAC